UACGAAGGGGGCGAGCGUUGUUCGGAUUUACUGGGCGUAAAGGGCGCGCAGGCGGCUCAUUUUGUCAGGCGUGAAAGCCCCGGGCUUAACCUGGGAACUGCGUUUGAUACGGAUGGGCCAGAGUUCGGGAGAGGAGAGUGGAAUUCCCAGUGUAGAGGUGAAAUUCGUAGAUAUUGGGAAGAACACCGGUGGCGAAGGCGG
rnacentral:rRNA from 1 species